rnacentral:rRNA from 1 species
GAUCUGGCUCAGGACGAACGCUGGCGGCGUGCUUAACACAUGCAAGUCGAACGAGAAUCUACUGAAAGAGUUUUCGGACAAUGGAAGUAGAGGAAAGUGGCGGACGGGUGAGUAACGCGUGAGGAACCUGCCUUGAAGAGGGGGACAACAGUUGGAAACGACUGCUAAUACCGCAUGAUGCAUAAGGGUCGCAUGAUUCUUAUGCCAAAGAUUUAUCGCUUCAAGAUGGCCUCGCGU